UUCUGCUGAGAUGUUUGAGGUUAUGUUUAUUACGUGUGACUGUUGAAUCUGGGUAGAUUUUGGAUCAGAAAUUGAAUAUCUAGAAAUUAGUGGGCAUUACCAAACCGAUUAUAAAAGAAAGUGAUAGGCUAAAGCCGGAUCCUGAACUUGAGAAUUAGGACAUCACUUGCAAAACUGAAACAGGACAGGAGCAAUCAGAUUGUUUUUAAUGUUCAGCUGAUCUUCAAGAUAUGCAUUUGGACUGAGAGCCCUCUGAAGUAGCUAUGGAUUAUGGGAAAGGCAACAGAUUUGUGUAACAUACAGUUCAUGAGAAACCUGGACCGUAACAUUCCUGGUCCGGCAGCGAUCAGGUGCGGUGGAGACCGGGUACGGCGAAGACCGAUACAGGCGGAGAACUGG